rfam:Triticum aestivum genome assembly, contig: Triticum_aestivum_CS42_TGACv1_scaffold_019733_1AS
AUGCUACUCCCUCCGUUCCAAAUUAGUCGUCACAGAAAUGGAUGUAUCUAGAACUAAAAUACAUCUAGAUACAUCCAUUUCUGCGACGAAUAAUUCGUAACGGAAGGAGUACAUG